rnacentral:rRNA from 1 species
AACGAACGCUGGCGGCAGGCUUAACACAUGCAAGUCGAGCGCCCCGCAAGGGGAGCGGCAGACGGGUGAGUAACGCGUGGGAAUCUACCCAUCUCUACGGAAUAACGCAUGGAAACGUGUGCUAAUACCGUAUACGUCCUUCGGGAGAAAGAUUUAACGGAGAUGGAUGAGCCCGCGUUGGAUUAGCUAGUUGGUGGGGUAAAGGCCUACCAAGGCGACGAUCCAUAGCUGGUCUGAGAGGAUGAUCAGCCACACUGGGACUGAGACACGGCCCAGACUCCUACGGGAGGCAGCAGUGGGGAAUAUUGGACAAUGGGCGCAAGCCUGAUCCAGCCAUGCCGCGUGAGUGAUGAAGGCCCUAGGGUUGUAAAGCUCUUUCACCGGUGAAGAUAAUGACGGUAACCGGAGAAGAAGCCCCGGCUAACUCCGGGCCAGCCGCCGCAGUAACAC